AUGUAUGUGUAUCCCAGUUUCACUCUUCCAGCCCGACAUUCACGCAUCUGGUUAUCACUUAUCUUUGGCUUGUCGCAUACACCAAAUGGCCAAAUCCAUAUUCGAUUUCUACAUUUUGAGUGUCGGCGAUCUUAUCGGCCUUGGUGUUGUAGCAUCCUCACAAACUGUGUAAAUAGAGAUUAGGGAAGAAGGAUACAUGGGAGGAGAUCAAACUCCUUAGAAAAUGUUAUGAAAAAAAAAUGGUGGACAGUGGCGACCUUACAACUGAUUUUUCUAUGAAUUGUCGCUACUGAUGGGUUAUGAUUCAACUGAUGAAGUUGGGCCACGAUGAACAACAGGAAAAUCAAGGAAAAAAAAUCAAUGGAUUUCGUCAACUAUAAAAAGGGUUCAAUGAGAAUUUCCGUUGCAUGCAUAUUUUUUUAUUUAAGAUGAUCAAAGAAGGUUGCUACAUUGACAGAUUUAUAAACUUGGAAAAUCUGUGAAAGCAGCAACCUUGUUUGAGAUUAUAAUAAUGUCAAACACAAAAGUUUUAAGAAAUGGUUCAAUCAUUCAAAUAAAAUAGUUGUAACAAAAACAUAUGAUGAUUAGUGUUGAUUGAGAUGAACUAACCUGAAUUUUCUUUAGUCUCUAUUGCAAAAUUGCAGAAUUCGUUGUGAUGAUCAUGAGAAAGAAAAGUAGUGUAGUAUGAUCUUCAAGGUAGGGUUUGGCAUGUAUUAGAAAUGUAAUUUAAAAAUAGGAUCUGGUAAAUAAGGUAAAUAGGUAAAUGUAUCCCUAAAUUGUAGGGGUACAUUAAAAUCCAAGAGAAUUUUCAGCAUUUUUAGAUGAUACUUUCCAGUUUUUUCGAUUAGGAUAGUAGUUUGUGUUUUUUUUAAAAAAAAUUUAAAUCAAAGAUGUUUUAUCGACCACAAGAGAAAACAAACAAAAAUUUGAGAAUUCACAAAAAAAUGACAUGUGUCAAAUAGCAUAGCUAUAAGGGGGACAUGUGGCAUUUAAGGGUUUUGUUUAUUAGAAGAGGUAGAUUCACAUCUAUUAUAUGAAACGUAUCUACAAGAUUAUAGGAUAUUGUUGUUCAAUGUCAAAGAAUCAAAGAAUUCGAAAUUGGAUAUCAUUUCCAUAAUCAUUGUUAAAAGUUAUGUAUAAAUCAUGUGUUGUUCUCCGUACAUUAUGUUUCCUUUAGACCCUUCGCAGAAUCAUGUUCGAACAACAUCAACCAUUGUAGCAUCACGUUUGUCAUCUAGGUUCCUUCUUUAAUAUGAUGUUCUUAAUUUUUAUUAAUUGUAUUCGAUUUUUUGAUUCACAUUAGUUUUGUAUUUUACUGUGAUCUUUAACCUUGCACUUGAUGUUGCACUCUACACGUUUGAAUAAAAUCCUAUGAGAAAAGCACAAUGACUUUUGAUUAA